AUUGAACGCUGGCGGCAGGCCUAACACAUGCAAGUCGAACGAGUGGCGGACGGGUGAGUAAUGCCUGGGAAACUGCCCGAGGGAGGGGGAUAACUACUGGAAACGGUAGCUAAUACCGCAUACCAUCGGAUGUGCCCAGAUGGGAUUAGCUAGUAGGUGGGGUAACGGCGCACCUAGGCGACGAUCCCUAGCUGGUCUGAGAGGAUGACCAGCCACACUUGAACUGAGACACGGUCCAGACUCCUACGGGAGGCAGCAGUGGGGAAUUUUGGACAAUGGGGGCAACCCUGAUCCAGCCAUCCCGCGUGUGCGAUUAAGGCCUGCGGGUUGUAAAGCACUUUUGGCAGGAAAGCGGUACCUGCAGCAUAAGCGCCGGCUAACUACGUGCCAGCAGCCGCGGUAAUAC
rnacentral:rRNA from 1 species